rnacentral:rRNA from 1 species
GGGCGAGUCUCGGACUGAGUAAGCGGCGGACGGGUGAGUAACGCGUAGGAAUCUACCCAGUAGUGGGGGACAACUUGGGGAAACUCAAGCUAAUACCGCAUACGCCCUACGGGGGAAAGCGGGGGACCUUCGGGCCUCGCGCUAUUGGAUGAGCCUGCGUCGGAUUAGCUAGUUGGCGGGGUAAAGGCCCACCAAGGCGACGAUCCGUAGCUGGUCUGAGAGGAUGAUCAGCCACACUGGGACUGAGACACGGCCCAGACUCCUACGGGAGGCAGCAGUGGGGAAUAUUGCGCAAUGGGGGCAACCCUGACGCAGCCAUGCCGCGUGUGUGAAGAAGGCCCUAGGGUUGUAAAGCACUUUCACUUGGGAAGAAAAGCAUAAGGUUAAUACCCUUGUGCCGUGACAUUACCUUGAGAAGAAGCACCGGCUAACUCCGUGCCAGCAGCCGCGGUAAUACGGAGGGUGCGAGCGUUAAUCGGAAUUACUGGGCGUAAAGCGCGCGUAGGCGGUUUGUUAAGUCGGAUGUGAAAGCCCCGGGCUCAACCUGGGAACUGCAUCCGAUACUGGCCGACUAGAGUGCAGGAGAGGGAGGUAGAAUUCCACGUGUAGCGGUGAAAUGCGUAGAUAUGUGGAGGAAUACCGGUGGCGAA